rnacentral:rRNA from 1 species
AGCGAACGCUGGCGGCGUGCUUAACACAUGCAAGUCGAGCGAAGGUGUUGCAAGGGUAACCUUGAGAUACACUUAGCGGCGGACGGGUGAGUAAUACGUGGAUAACUUACCUCUAGGCCUGGGACUAACCCCGGGAAACGUGGGGCUAAUACCUGAUAAGACCACAUUGUCUACGGACGAAAGGGGUAAAAGGUGGCUGUGCAAACAGCUAUCGCCAAAAGAUAGGUUCACGUCCCAUCAGGCAGUUGGUGAGGUAAUGGCUCACCAAACCAAAGACGGGUAGCCGGCCUUGGGCGGGUGAACGGCCAC